rnacentral:rRNA from 1 species
GAUGAACGCUAGCGACAGGCCUAACACAUGCAAGUCGAGGGGCAGCGAGGAUGUAGCAAUACAUUUGUCGGCGACCGGCGCACGGGUGAGUAACGCGUAUGCAACCUACCCGACACAGGGGGAUAACCCGGAGAAAUUCGGACUAAUACCGCAUAAAACAGGGGUCCCGCAUGGGAAUAUUUGUUAAAGAAUUAUCGGUGUCGGAUGGGCAUGCGUUCCAUUAGCUAGUUGGUGAGGUAACGGCUCACCAAGGCCACGAUGGAUAGGGGUUCUGAGAGGAAGGUCCCCCACAUUGGUACUGAGACACGGACCAA